rnacentral:lncRNA from 1 species
ACUCGACAUGGAGGAAGAAGAAAGAAACAAGGCUAGAGCUGAGCUGGAGCGACGGGAGAAGGACCUUCUGAAAGCCCAACAAGAGCAUCAGUCUUUGCUGGAAAAACUGUCUGCGCUGGAGAAGAAGGUGAUUGUCGGUGGUGUGGACUUGUUGGCCAAAGCUGAGGAGCAAGAGAAGCUUCUCGAGGAGUCCAAUAUGGAGCUGGAGGAGCGGAGGAAAAGAGCUGAGCAACUUCGGAAAGAACUAGAGGAAAAAGAGCAAGAACGCUUGGACAUCGAGGAAAAAUAUACCAGUCUGCAAGAGGAGGCACAAGGAAAGACCAAGAAAUUAAAGAAAGUCUGGACCAUGCUGAUGGCUGCAAAGUCAGAGAUGGCUGAUCUCCAGCAAGAGCAUCAGAGGGAAAUUGAAGGCCUCCUGGAGAACAUUCGGCAGCUCAGCCGUGAGCUCCGACUUCAGAUGCUCAUCAUUGAUAACUUCAUACCUCAGGACUACCAGGAAAUGAUUGAAAACUACGUCCACUGGAAUGAAGACAUAGGAGAAUGGCAGCUGAAAUGUGUGGCCUACACAGGAAAUAACAUGAGGAAACAAACUCCAGUCCCUGACAAGAAGGAGAGAGACCCAUUUGAAGUAGACCUUUCCCACGUGUACCUCGCCUAUACAGAGGAGAGUUUGCGUCAGUCUCUGAUGAAGUUAGAAAGGCCACGGACCUCCAAGGGAAAGGCCAGGCCAAAGACCGGUAGAAGAAAGCGUUCUGCAAAGCCUGAGACCGUAAUUGAUUCUUUACUUCAGUAAAUGUUACAGAAUUAAAGUUACAAUAAUAAUAAUAAAAAGUGAUAUUCUCAUGCCUGG